UACGUAGGUGGCAAGCGUUGUCCGGAUUUACUGGGCGUAAAGAGCGCGCAGGCGGUCGUUCAAGUCGCGUGUGAAAGCCCCCGGCUCAACUGGGGAGGGUCACGCGAUACUGAUCGACUCGAAGGCAGGAGAGGGUAGUGGAAUUCCCGGUGUAGUGGUGAAAUGCGUAGAUAUCGGGAGGAACACCAGUGGCGAAGGCGGCUCACUGGCCAUCAUCUGACGCUGAGGCGCGAAAGCGUGGGUAGCAAACAGG
rnacentral:rRNA from 1 species